rnacentral:rRNA from 1 species
UACGUAGGUGGCGAGCGUUAUCCGGGUUUACUGGGCGUAAAGCGCUUGUCGGCGGCUUCGUAAGUUGGGCGUGAAAGCUCCGGGCUUAACCCGGAGAGGCCGUCCAAUACUGCGGAGCUCGAGGGUGCCAGAGGAAGGUGGAAUUCCUGGUGUAGCGGUGAAAUGCGUAGAUAUCAGGAGGAACACCCGUGGCGAAGGCGGCUUUCUGGGGCAUUCCUGACGCUGAGAAGCGAAAGCUAGGGGAGCAAACCGG